rnacentral:rRNA from 1 species
AACGAACGCUGGCGGCAGGCUUAACACAUGCAAGUCGAGCGCCCCGCCAGGGGAGCGGCCGACGGGUGAGUAACGCGUGGGAACGUACCUUUUGGUUCGGAACAACUCCGGGAAACUGGAGCUAAUACCGGAUAAGCCCUAACGGGGAAAGAUUUAUCGCCGAAAGAUCGGCCCGCGUCUGAUUAGCUAGUUGGUGAGGUAACGGCUCACCAAGGCGACGAUCAGUAGCUGGUCUGAGAGGAUGAUCAGCCACACUGGGACUGAGACACGGCCCAGACUCCUACGGGAGGCAGCAGUGGGGAAUAUUGGACAAUGGGCGCAAGCCUGAUCCAGCCAUGCCGCGUGAGUGAUGAAGGCCUUAGGGUUGUAAAGCUCUUUUGUCCGGGAAGAUAAUGACUGUACCGGAAGAAUAAGCCCCGGCUAACUUCGUG